GAUGGAGAACGCAGCGAAAUGCGAUAAGUAAUGUGAAUUGCAGAAUUCAGUGAAUCAUCGAAUCUUUGAACGCACCUUGCGCCCUUUGGCCAUUCCGAAGGGCAUGCCUGUUUGAGUAUCAUGAACACCUCAACUCUCAUGGCUCGCCAUGAUGAGCUUGGACUUUGGGGGUCUUGCUGGCCUGUGGUCGGCUCCUCUCAAAUGGAUCAGCUUGCCAGUGUUUGGUGGCAUCACAGGUGUGAUAACUAUCUGCGCUUGUGGUUUUCCAUCAGAUAACCUUCAGUGAUGGAGGUUCGCUGGAGCUCAUAAACGUCUCCCCUAAGCGGGGACAGCCCUUUGAAUGUUUGAUCUCAAAUCAGGUAGGACUACCCGCUGAACUUAAGCAUAUCAAUAAGCGGAGGA
rnacentral:misc_RNA from 1 species